rnacentral:rRNA from 1 species
UACGUAGGCAGCGAGCGUUGUUCGGAAUUACUGGGCGUAAAGAGUGUGUAGGCGGUGCUCUAAGUUCGGUGUGAAAUCUCCUGGCUCAACUGGGAGGGUGCGCCGGAAACUGGAGUGCUUGAGCGUGGGAGAGGAAAGCGGAAUUCCUGGUGUAGCGGUGAAAUGCGUAGAUAUCAGGAGGAACACCGGUGGCGAAGGCGGGUCUCUGGGCAGUAACUGACGCUGAGGAGCGAAAGCGUGGGGAGCGAACAGG